GGUGUUGUUAGUGUAACGGUAAACACGCAAGAUUGUGAAUCUUGAGAUAAGAGUUCAAUUCUCUUACUUCACCCUA
rnacentral:tRNA from 1 species